GAGGUUGGUUUCUUAUGGAUUUUGAAAUAAAUUCUCAAUCUAUUCUAAUCUAGUCAUUAAUGUAAACAACACACUCACGUGACUGAGAAGAGAUCCGGAACUACCCCAUAAUAUAGAUGUAGAUCUAGAUUCUAAAUACGCAGUCAUCAGUCAAUGUGACAAUGCCGAUGUUGGGUCCAACGACCAGGGGUAAAUAAACAACACAAUAGACUUGAAUAGACUGAAUGUAACAAACCAUAAGACAAGAUAGUUGAUUUUUUUUAUUAGUGUUGAAUUUUUGAGAACUUAGGGAUUAUCAUGUAUACUACUAGUAUCUAGGACUUGAAACUACACAAUCAAAAAUUGUCUUAAAAAACAUCAAAGCAGUGAUGACAUAUAGAACUUGCCCUCUCUUACUUGUCAUAAUGGAACACAGAUAGUCAUCAUG